AGGAGUCCGGGCGCCAUCUCGGUCUUUCUAGAGUAGGAAUCGGCUGGCUUGAGAAAUGUUGCUUGGCACGGACGCAACGUGGCUUUUGAUGGCAUCUUAUAGACAGUUAUGUGCCAAGGAGGGAUGAAAAUUGCUGCCGAGGUCCUAAAAACAAGCUUUUCGCGAUAACCUGGGCACACAGGCACUAAACAGCUGAAAGUUGAUGUGGUGUGAAGUCUGACUUGUCUGGACCAUUUUUUUUUUAAACCACUGGUUUCACGUUUUUUCCCAGGGAUGGCUUGGGUGCAGAUUUUGGAGACCUUUUAAAUAAAGGUCUGAAUAAUCUGCUUGGCCACGAUACAUGGAGCACGAAAUUUCAAUCAAAAGGAAUGAGAACUCGUAUGUGAAGUGCAGGUUAUUUUCUUUUAUCCUGAAAACUUCAAGGGCUUUUAUGACUACAGCAAGCAUGCAGCUUACCCAUUGAAAGGCAGCUGGAUGGAUGCUCAUGGGAUAGAAGAUUAAGCAUCUUUCUUUCAAUUGGAAUUUCUGUAAACCUUGUGAGGAGGAGCAUCCUAUUUCAAAUAGGGUGGGGGAAAGGAGGAAUGUUUUCAAAUAAUGAAGGCUAUACUGGUGCUUUGUCUGUUACAUUAAUUGGAAAUAAAAGUAUGCAGAAGUCAAAGGCUCCCUGGCAUUUGCUUCAUUAAAGGUCCGAAGAAAAGCUGAGUAACCCAAAGUGACUAGGCCUCUUGAGAUAUCAAGACAGUACUGUUUGUGCUCACUUCAGCAGCACAUAUACUUUAAAAAAAAAAAAAAAAAGACACGACUGUUUUACUCUUGGGGACCUAAGGCCUUUGGUAUUUGUGCCUAGAAAAUACUCUCUGAAUUUUGGGUGUCUUCUGUAAUGCUCAUUUCCAGGAUAGAAAGAUAAAGUUUUGGUAUGAAUUAGGCUUUAAACAGUGAAUAGCAAAUUUAUUAUAUUUAUAAGUUAGGUAACAUUUGUGGCAUAGAUGGAUGUAGGGCAUCUCUAGAAAUUCUCUCCACUGAGAAAGGGCAGGCAGUGUUGGGCACCCUUCUCACCGUGAGAACCCUGCCAGCAAGGACUUUCUGGCUCUAGAGUAUACCCACAAAUGAGGGAGAGAUUAGGUGAAAGGACAAAUUUAGGGAAAAGCUCCACCUAAUGGUAAACCAGCUUUCUCAUUAGUAAGGAAGGACAUUCAUACUCUUUGUAGCUUAUUGAGUGUCACAAAAUAGACCUGGAAGUGAAGCCUAUUUUAUUUUCAAACAGAAAAAGAUUAUAGUAUCGUAUUGCUUAGAGCAAUGAGAAAAAUAGGCUGGGAUGUAAAACUGAUACUUAGUGUUUAUAAAUUAUAAAUCAAAAGAAUGUCAAGGCAAAAGCAAAGAUCAAGUAGAAAAGAAUAUUUUCAAAAUCAUUAAUCAAGGCCUUGUUCCCAUUUUAUAAUUUUUAUUUGUAUCAUUAAAACUUAUAAGAAAAUCA